CUAUGCUGCAUCAGCUUUUACAAAGAGUUAGGCAUAGAGUGAUUUCUACUCUCAGCAGGCAGCCCAUUGACUUUGACUAUUUGUACUUUGUUUGUUGUCAGGAGUUACAGUUUCUCAGAGCCGGAGCAGCUCAUGUUGACCUUGCGGAGUCAGUGGUUGAGAAUUUUCAGAGGUUGACUGAAGUUGUCAGUUCUUAUGCCUCAGCUCCAAGAUUAUUCGAUGUAGCUCAGGUUGAACACAGUGGGAAUGCAGGGAGACCCAAAGUCAACAUAGAAAGUGAAACUCUCACAGAUCUACUUAGUAGUGGUUUACCAUUGACUUCCUUAUGUAGCCUUUCUAGAAUUGCAAGGUCAACUUUGUAUAGACGUUUGAAAGAGCAUGAUCUAGCUGUAAGAAAAUGCUAUUCCAGCAUUUCAGAUGACUCAUUAGAACAGGUUAGGUGUAUAAAGACCAGAAUGCCAAAUGCUGGCUACAGAUGGGUCUCUUCAAGCAAUGGGUGUCCGGAUUCCUUGGAAGAGAGUGAAAAUGUCCUUGCAGCGUGUGGACGGAGCAGGACUUAUUGCCAGAAUGGUCCAGCUCCCUUAUCUCUUGUCCACGUUGAUACAAAUCAUAAGCUCAUCAGGUACAACAUUGUUGUGUUUGGAGCAAUUGAUGGUUUUUCAAGGAAGAUCUUUUACUUGGACACGGCUGGCAACAACAAGGCAGGGACAGCUUUUUGUUUCUUUAUGGAUGGGGUUUGUAAACAUGGAUGGCCAUCAAGGCAAGUUAAUUAAGGUUAAAAAAAGAUAAAGAUUGCGUAUGAUGUUCUUGAAUUACAUUGAUUUUGCAAAAUAUAACUUUCCACUUUGUCUUAUAGAG